rnacentral:rRNA from 1 species
UACGGAGGGUGCAAGCGUUAUCCGGAAUCACUGGGUUUAAAGGGUGCGCAGGCGGCCGCAUAAGUCAGAAGUGAAAGCUCGGCGCUCAACGUCGGAACUGCUUUUGAUACUGUGCGGCUUGAAUCAGGAUGAGGUAGGCGGAAUGUGACAUGUAGCGGUGAAAUGCAUAGAUAUGUCAUAGAACACCGAUUGCGAAGGCAGCCUACUGGCCCUGUAUUGACGCUGAGGCACUAAAGCGUGGGGAGCGAACAGG